CAAGUCAAAAUUCUAAGCCGAUUUUGUAUACAAUAAGUCGGUCUUAAAAUGUCGGGCUUAAUUAAUCAAAUAAAACUAGAUAUCUUAUCAAUAGAUGGCCACACUGUUUAGUGGAUCGUCUGCAGUAGAAAUUCAUGGUUCAUCAGAUGUGUCCUAGUUGUUAGGGAUUCGUUAAUAGUUAAAAAAAAAAAAUGGAAAUUGGUAAAAUGAAAUAACAUAUGACCUAUACCUUUAGAUCACUUGUUUUCACAAAUGGAGAUUUAUUCCACAAGCUUCCUAGGCAGACACCCACCCACACAACCAUGGGUGAUAAAUGAUAUAAAAGUUUAUUAAUUUAAAAAAUUUAGAUUUUAGGUUAUUGAUAACAGAGUCAGGAAACAAUGUGUGGAAUCUGAUAUUCUAGCCUUGGAAACCACAGAUGCCUUUCUGCUUUAACAAGGCUAUAAAGCAACUAUAAUUUCAGGAGGUCCUAACUCAGUGUACGUGGUUUACGCCCCACUAUACAAUCCAAUAAACUUCAGGCUGAGGUCUUCCAGUGCUGAGAAUUUAUUUGGCAAGCAAAUACUCAAUAAGGAGUUAGGUGGAACAGUGGAGAGAAAAAUAUUCGCGAUGGGCAAUUUGAGAUCCAAGUAGAAACGGAGUGGCUAUUGUUUAAAGGCUUAGAGACUCGGCAAAUGGUAUUACAUGGUUAAUGGUUAAAUGGUAUUGUGACAGCUUAGACAAGGUUGCAGAAGGGUUGCGUUACGUCGCAAAAUCUUCACAUCAUAUUAUUUCCGCUAUUGCUGAUAUUACUGAGUCCAGUUCCAUGAUUUGACUGAAAACGGACGAAAAAUGUUGCAUGCCUUCUUAUUCGAAAUCUGUGGAUUGCAAGGAGGUUUCACAUUGGAGAAACGCGAGCAGCAGUGUAACGAUUACAUCCGGCGCACGGUCGGACGUGAUAAGAUCGUGCUCAUGCUAGUAAGCGGUGGAGUCGAUUCCGCCGUUCGUGCUGCCCUUCUCCAUAAAGCACUUCUACAGGUGAUAACUCGUCGCGAGUGCAGGGCAUCUAUAUCCAUUCUUAUCUUUUUCUUUUUUUUUUAUUUUAUCUUUACGAAAAGAUACAAUAUGUUUGCUAAUUUACUUUAUUUACGUUAUUCAGCGACAGUUAACAAGCGUUUUAGUAAUUUACCUUGGGCUACUUGAAAUUAUUAUUACAAGUUUCAUUUAAGUUCAUGGUAAAAGUUGAAAUUCAAAGUGUAUGUCUAAUGGCACAACGGUAUAGCAUCGGAGCGGUACGUAGAAGAUUUAGGGUUCGAUUCCCUAAAGAGUUCAGUUACAUUCCAAUGUAAAAAUAAAUUCCAUUGGGAAAAUUCUGAUUUAUGAGUUACAAAAUCUCUAAGUAAAAUUAGAGUGCCUUAACCAAAGACUUGUAAAGCUCUAUUCUUCAACGUGGCUAUUGGUCGCAUAUACCGGAACAUUACAACUCAGAUGGAAAACGAACCCAUACUAUGAUGAUUAAUCCCAGUCAAUUUAAUGUUUGUUAAAAAUAAAAAAACGAUUAAUUAAUGUCACUACAUAUUAUCCAUCAUAGACACUGAAUUCCACUACAGCUGAAUGGGAUUCGAACCCAAGUUACAUCGUAUUCCAGUCCAUCGCUCUACCAUUGAGCUAUGAGAGAUACUACAUUGUAAUCUAAGUCUUCAACACAUUAAGGUAACUGUGCAAAAUUGUACAUAGGGGAUCAAAUAUCAAUGGGGGGAUAUAGGGGGGUUGCCAGAAAGGUAUCGCAUCCGACUAGCAACUCGAAGGUCCGUGGUUCGAUUCCACGUGGGUUCCUGAUGUCCUGGGCUUCCAACAUUCCCAGGGGUCUACAUUCCCAGGAGCCAGUCGGGUCGAGAAACUUCCCCAUUACGAAGUAAUGGGACGGAUAUUUUGCCGAUUUGAACCCUUAAUCUGUGGCGUAUCGUGCCGAUGCUCUACCACUGAGCUAUAAGUCAUAUUAACAUACUGUCUACAUUUUCGUGUUAAUUGAGUUAACAAAUUUGGACUUAGAAUAAUUUUUGUAGCAUGAUUCAAGACAAUUUCCUUUUAAUAUGUCUAUAAUAAAUACAUCUAAUUGAAUUGCGAAA
rnacentral:lncRNA from 1 species